AACGAACGCUGGCGGCAGGCCUAACACAUGCAAGUCGAACGCACCGCAAGGUGAGUGGCGCACGGGUGAGUAACACGUGGGAAUGUAUCCUUUGGUUCGGAAUAACGUCUGGAAACGGACGCUAAUACCGGAUGAGCCCUUAGGGGGAAAGAUUUAUAGCCAAAGGAGCAGCCCGCGUCUGAUUAGGUAGUUGGUGGGGUAAAGGCCGACCAAGCCGAAGAUCAGUAGCUGGUCUGAGAGGAUGAUCAGCCACACUGGGACUGAGAAACGGCCCAGACUCCUACGGGAGGCAGCAGUGGGGAAUAUUGGACAAUGGGCGCAAGCCUGAGCCAGCCAUGCCGCGUGAGUGAUUAAGGCCUUCGGGUUGUAAAGCUCUUUCGCACACGACGAUGAUGACGGUAGUGUGAGAAGAAGCCCCGGCUAACUUCGUGCCAGCAGCCGCCGUAAUAC
rnacentral:rRNA from 1 species